CGUAACACGUAAGCAACCUGCCUCAAAGACCGGGACAACUUCGCGAAAGCGAGGCUAAUACCGGAUGUGGCCACCGGGUGGCAUCUCCUGGUGAUUAAACCGAGCAAUCGGCUUUGAGAGGGGCUUGCGUCCUAUCAGCUAGUUGGUGGGGUAACGGCCUACCAAGGCGACGACGGGUAGCUGGUCUGAGAGGACGAUCAGCCGGACUGGGACUGAGAUACGGCCCAG
rnacentral:rRNA from 1 species